rnacentral:lncRNA from 1 species
CACGCUUAGGCCUGGCAGACGCGUAGGCAAUCAACGCCUUGCGCUGUCUGUCUUACAUCGCAAGCCCAACCAUCCAUUUCCUUCUUCCCAGAAGGUGCACUCAAGAUGCUCACCUUCAGGCCCACAAUGGUCUGGAACAGGCCAGUGCCGUUGUUGGAGCCGGGGAAGCCGCUGUUCUUGAGCAUCUGCUGGGUGAUCUCGCCGUAGAACUUGGCGCUGGUGUUGGACAGGUGGCUCUCCACGUAGAUGAGCUCCUCCAGCUUGUCGAACUGGCCGUCCAUCUCCAGGACAGACACCUCCUGGCCGUACCAGGUGUCGGGGCCGUAGAAC